CCCUGAUCUGCUUGAGAAUGUGCCUAACAACUGGUGUCCAGACCUAGACCCAACAGGAUUCUUUACUGUCCAUCCACUGCUGUUGUUACAGUGAUUUUGCACGUUAGAAAAAUACUUAGUCAGAAGGUGUGGAAAGGGAUCCACAAUGCUGAACAGCUAAGUCUUCCUUCUCCGACGUCACAGCGGUACCGUUCCCACCUGCAACAUACCUAUACCGCCCAUGUCCCGAUAGGAGGAAGCAGAAGUGGCACGGCUAUGCAGAACAAUGCCAUCUGUGGAAGGACACUUGUUCCUGGAGAUGAUUUCUUCUUCUGGCCAAAGAGGAACUUCAGCUUACCUUCAAACUGCAUUGUCUGCACCACAUAAAAGAUAUUAUCAUCUCAAAGCUUUCCCACCCUAGAGAUCAGACAAAACAUGGAUGAAGCUUAUUCCCCUCCCUGUACUCAUCUUCAGUGCUUAAAAGGAAACGGGAAGCUGGACCAUCAGCAUUCAGUAUUUUGACCAUCGAAGAGAUAUGUUGUAUUCUAGCAUAGACUGGAGUGAGCAGUAAUAUGAGAUGAAUCAGCAAACUACCAAAAUCCAUGCUUCAUGCCUCAGUGUUGACUGAUACAUUUCGGGAAGUUAAGUAGCUGAUGAAAUGAGAAAAUCUCCAGUCGUUCACAGAAAACUGAAAAAAAGCAAUAUAUUUCUUCAUGUUUCUAGUAUAUAUUUUUAUUUACGGUAUAUGUGUUUCUUCAAUCACCAAACAUUAAAUUGGAUUGUCCUACGCCUUACGUACAUCAGUGAACAUUUAGUAGAUAUUUUAUAAUGCUUGAAUGAUUGGUUAUCUGUUCAUGGGUACUGCAUACUAUGAUUCACACUGAUUAUUUGUUUAGCUUUCAAUAAAU